CCUCGCCAUCGAGGGCCGGGGCUUCUUCGUCGUCUCCGACGGCGACGGCACGCCCUACCUGACGCGCGCCGGCUCGUUCGUGCCGAACGGGGAGGGC
rnacentral:tRNA from 1 species